CCUCUUCCUUUCUCAUCCCAUUCAUCCGCAACAUAACUUCAAUCCCCGCCAACCUUCCCCCUCUCAGGAUAUCCAACAGCGCCCCUGUCACCCCACCUCUUUCCUCUCCCCGAACCUCUAAGCGCAAGGCCAACUUCGAUUCCCUCUCCCACGCCUCCUUCCGCCACCCUCUUUUCGCCACUUCCGCUCCCUCCAGUCCCUCGCGCCGCCACCACUUCGCCACUUCCACCAUCCCUGAGUGCGACGAGUCCGAUACUUCCACCGUCGACUCUGCCUCCGGCCGUUGGGUUAGUUUUCAGGUUCAGACCGCCGCAGGUCCUCCUUCCCCCACCUUCAACCUCAUUAAACCCGCUAUGCACCAGAUCCCUGCCCAGGACGCCGUACAGUGGGGUUCGGUUGCGGAGAUAGGAAUAGGAGUGUCCGAUUUUGACUUCGAGAAUGGCAGAGUGAAGCCUUGGGAGGGUGAGAGAAUACACGAGGUGGGAAUGGAUGAUUUGGAGCUUACUCUGGGCUUAGGAAAAGCUUGAUUUAUUCCUUACAACCACCUGUUAGGACCACAGAUGCAAUUGCAAUCCCUUCCAUCUGCUAUCUCCUCGCCAAUUGAUUGGUUGUUAUGCUUAUAUUUCUAUAUUUUCUUUUUCAUUAUGUGUACAGUGCCUCUUAUAUACCAGUGGUUAGGUGUUCUGUGACAUCAAGGAAUUUGACUUCAUUGUAAUGUCUUGUUACUUGUUCAAAGGUUGUAUUUGAAGCAAUCUUCUCCAAGUGUUUUCUUCAGACUUUAAUCUUCACUUACUAAGACUUGGGAAAACUAGGUGAUAUUCCUAAUUUUAUUCUCUUAUUCAUUUUGUUAAUGCUCCUUUCUUGUACAUUGCUCACUCUUCAAACUUGAUGUGCUAAGAUUCGGAUGUAUGGGAGAUAUCAAGUGAUAAGAGGUGAUAUACUGAAAUGCUUUAAUCUUGAUUAUUUAUUUAUAUGGUAAUCUGGAUAGUUUUUUUGGAAAAUUCUUUUAUUUAUACUAUAAGCAUGUUUAGUUUACUGCAUCUUUUAGUUUAUUUGCCUAAUUGAGGUUUCUUUGAUCCUCUAUCUUUUCUGUAUCCUGUGUUUAAACUGGUGAGUUUUGUUGAAACAAUGUUGUUAUUCAUUUAAUGUUAAGUAUGCAACACUUGUUAACAGAAGUGAACUAUAUUUAACAUGAUGUUUCCUUCUCAUGGAAGCAAAUCUGAUAUGCAAGUGAUGAUCUAUGUCAAUAUUUACAGAGAAGUGACUUUGCUAGAUGGCUAAAUGAAAAGUUGGUUUUGAGAUAGACAAAUAUCCUCUCCUUUUUUGAUGGAAGAUAAGAAAAAUGAUCUAUUUUCUUUUUCAUUCAUAGUUUCCUGUACUCGCCUCCGACAGGGAAUUUUGUAUUCAAACAAAAAAAGUUGUACCAUAAAUUGGGGAGGGGAGCCAUAUCAUCUCCUACUCUGUAUAAGGUGCGACCAUUUUUCUUUUGAUUGAAGGGGUUGUCAUGGCAUGAUUCAGAAUUUUGAAUUUUAUAUCCGGUUGCAUUUGUGUUAAGUUAUUUUUAGGACAAAUUAUGUUCAUUUGUCAAUAAGACUAAUUUCUUUCAAUAUAAACUUUUGGACAAAGAAGGAAAAACACAAGUAUCAUGAAUAUAGUGUGUACUUUAAUAACCAAUUAUAAGUUCAGCGCAAUCUAUAUUUUCUAUUUUCUGACCUUGAUCUGUCAUUUUUAAUAAGAAACAAAAUUAACCCAACUUCUUCAAACAGAGGAGCUAAUCUAAGUGAUUAUUACAUAAGAUGUUUGAAGGUCAGCUUCCUUGUCAACCUUCUUAUUAUGAAACACUGAAGAACAAUGAUGGUGAAAGUCCUUUGUAAAAGUAAAAUGGGCAUUGAAACAUGUUAUGCUGAUUGCAAAUUAUGUUUGUGAUUCAUCGAUGGGUGUAAACUAGGGUUCAGGAUUACCACCCUCCCGAGGGUUUUAUGAUGGAUAAAUAUGUUAUCACCAUAACUUUUUAUUAUUUAUAUUUAUUUUUGACAAUAUCAUGUUUCAACCUUUCUGCCUUCAUCUUCUUGAUGAAGUGAUUCAACAACAUCGGUGGAGUUUUUUUUCUUGCAAUUCAACUUCAAACUAUUUGAAAAGAAUACUAGCAAUGAUUGAACCAAAUCCUGUAGAAUGGAUUUGGUUGUGUGGAUGAAUUUGUUAAUAGUAGGUUAUUUUACAUUCUUCUUAUUGCAAGAAUGAUUACAAUAAUCCAAAUCCUUCAGGGCAUUCUUGUUCUCUGUUGUCAUGCUUCAACUUCGAAGUUGAUGGUAAAUGACAAAUUUGAAUUUGACCUGUUAAAAAGUAGUGAUCUUUAAUUUCACACAUGCAUUUGAUAAAACAAAUGAACAAGAGGGAAAAUAAAAACAAAUUGGAUGCUUUUCUGGUGAGGAGAAAAAAAUUAAGAGAACAUAAAAAACGAAGAAAAAAUAAGUAAAAGAAAGGAAAACGAUUCAACUGUCACAGUAUUUUAUUUUAAAAAAAUACUGAGAGGUUAUGCUUCAGAAUCUUCAGAGGGUGAUUAGGGAUGAUGUGGCUCAUGGAUACUCAGAUGUAGAUCACGCUCUUAAAAAUUUAUACUCCCAUUUUACAACACAUUUUAUUAUUUUUAUAUUUAAUUCAUAUUUUAAUUAAAUAACUUAAUUUCGUAUAUUAUUACUAUUUAUAGUUGUCAUAGGAAUGUUAAGUAACAACAGUGUUGUGAAAACAUCAUUAUUCUUAAGGAAUUCAGUUAAAUUUGCGUUGCAGGAGAUUAAAUUCAAUUUGACUUUCUUCAUAGGUAAAAUGCUAACUUAACUGGGUAGGUUGUCCUUUUUACAAACUAGCCCUUCUAUUCAUUUUAUGGCUGUUUUGUUGUCAUCUUUUGUAGGAGUUUUAGCAUAGUAAUUUAGUCACUCUAGACUGUAGUUAUACCUUGAUUUAUAUAUAUAUAUAUAUAGAAAAUAAUGAGUUCAAUUUUGAUCAUGAAGAAGAAGAUUAUUUAUCGAAUAAUUAUGAAUAUUGAAAAAUAAAACCAAAGUAAAUUAUCCUAUUAUAAAAAAUGAUUUUAUAUAAUUAUAGAUAGUCUCAUCUUUUUUUUAAUAAUAUAAUUAUAUUAAAUUUUAUAUACUGUUGUAACUAAAUAUCAUAAUAACAGUAUGUUAAAAGAUGGUUGAACAUAUUAAACUGUAUAUUUAAGUGGUUAUUAGUUCAUAUUAUAACCUUUUUAUAAUAUACUUAAGUUAUAUUUUUAGUAUGUUGAAUAUAAUAAAGUACACGAGCUCCUUAUAUUUAUUUUAAUUUAAAUUUUUUUAUUAAGAUUAAAGAGCUUUUAAAAACUUUUAAAAAUGAUUAUUAAAAUAUAAUUUCAAAUUAUAAUUGAGUUUGAAACAAUUUAGCGCAAUAUUUGGUGAGAUACACCUUAAUGUUGUUAAUAUUCAAGUUUAAAGCAAUUUAAUGUGAUCUUAAUUAUUUUUAUAUUGAUGUAUUUGAUGGUAACAUUUUUGUUUAAGGGAUAACAUGAUGUGCUAUCAAUUGUUAAGUGAUCAUUUAUAAAACAAUAUUCUUAAUUAGUGGUUUAUGUGGAUUCAUUUUUCAAUAGUUGUUUUCUAGUUUUCAUGGACUCAAGGCUGAUGUGAUUGUUGAAUUAACAUUUUGUUUUUUAAAAUAUUGUCUUGAAAUGUUCUGUUAACUAGUAGUUUUCAGAGAUUCAAAAAAUGAUAACAUUUUGAAUUAACAACAUUUUGUUUCUCAAAAGUUGUCUUGAGAUGUCAUUAUUUUAAAGUGUAUAUGAAAAUGUGGAACAACCUUACAAGUUUUUACACAUUGUUUCAUUCAAAAUGUUUAUAUUAAUACAUAUAAUUAUGGUUAGUUCUCUUUCACCUUUAUUUGCAUUUGCAUUAUAGGAUUUGCAUUUUUUCUCUAUGAUGAUUACUCAAUAAAUGAUAAUGAAUGGUAAAUUCAUUGGUGAAAAUAGUUAAAAUUAGUUUUGCUCUAAUGAAAGUAACAAUAUUGCUCAAAAGGCUAUUAUCAUUUCCAAUGUUUUGGUUACCAUGGUCUUUUUUAAUAUUUUGUUAAUGUAGUGAAUAUCAACUGCCAUCACACUAAUGGAUGGAUUCGUUAUAGUAAUAAUAAAUUGGAUUAAUUUCCAAUUUACAUAUUUACUUUAUUUCCUUGUAUUUGGAGCUAAUUUGAUCUUUCCUUAUGAUUUUGGUCAUAAUAUUCCCUAUAUAUACAUAUUUUUUUUUUCUAAUUCUAGUUUAAUUAGAUUUUACAUUUUCAAUGCUUCAAAAUAGAUAUGUAAUUUUUUGGAUUUGGAAUUAUUUACUAGUUUCUAUAACUUUUUGAAGUUGAGACAAAUUUACUAAAUUUUUUUAAAAGAAUCCGUGCAAAUUUAAUUUUCUUUAUUUUAACUUAGAUUUUUGUAAUUGGAUUUAUAGACCUAAUUAGAGUCCACAUUUUGGCUCAUGUUUAUUUUAUAUUAUAGACCACAUGUAUAAUCUAAAUGUGUUCUAAAUUGACAUUUCUUUAGUUUUAAGUUUUAGAAUUUGUUUCUUCAUCUCUUUUUCUCUAAUUUUCUCUUGAAUUUAGAAUUAUCUCUUCCUCUUCUUCUGCCAUUUGUGUUUUCUAUUCUUCAUUCAUAAAAAACUAUUUCUUCAGGAUCAAUUCAUGAAAUCAAGAUCAAACAUUUUGAAUUACAUUUUUGCAUUGUUCGUUUAACCCCUCGAGUUUCUUCUUCUUUUUUGUAAUUUUAGAUUUUCAGUUCACUGUAAUAAUUUGCUUUUCUUAUUUUAGAAGUUAAAUUAAGAAUCAGUUGAAUAUUUAUUUGAUAACUAUGUACAAAUUGUAUUGAAUGAUAUUUUGAUUCAAUUAUCAUUACUUGUUUAAUUGAGUAAUUGGAUUAGUUAAUUAUUCAAGCUUGGAUCUAAAUCUUUAGAGUACUUUGAUAAGAGGAAUUGUUUAGUUCUUGAAUCUGUAAAUUGACUUUCUUUAUUUUCUUCUAUUAUUGUUUUUACAAUAUGUAGCAUUUUUUUUUUAUGUUUUUCAAUCUCUAUACCCCCAAAAUUUAUUUGUAUGAGAAGAAUGUUAAAUAUUGAGAAUGAUCGAUACAUGUCCUUUGAGAAUCAACCUAGGUUGUAUUUUGUAUUAUAAAUUUUAGAGAAAACUUGGAAUAUUUGAUUUGAAAUCAACAUUGAAAAUCAAGAUUCUUGCUAAAAAGAGCUCAUUUAGAAAUGCGAAAUCAUCUAAAAAAAACAAAGAAGCAAAUUAUUAGUGUAGGUAGCUUUAGAAGGGAGGUUCAUUAGAGUAUGGAUUCUCUUAAAUAAGAACUAGACUAGACCAUCUAGCAGACAAGCAAUCAAAACAACAUAAUUGAUUUUAUGCUUCUUCACCAAACUCAUAGGCUACGUUGAGUUCUUCGUUAAAUAAACUUCCUAAGUGGUUCCACUAGUCAAAUUAACGAUUGCAUAAGUACAAAAAUGACUCCUAGUUACAACGAGUACACAAAGCACUCCUGGAUAUAACGGGUCCCAAAUCACUCGAGAUUAAUAUCUCACAGAAAGAAACAAGUUAUGGAUAUCUCAAAGCUACCAAACUAUAUAUGUUUGAUGAAACAAUAGGCCUUGAAGAGAUGUUGAUGUUGCCUUAAGCCUUGAAGAGAAGUGGAUGCUACCAUGAGCCUUAAAGAGAAGACUUGGUGCCUCAUAAAGUGUCUAGAUAGUUAAGGUAGAUUAGACUAGUGUUUGUUGUCUUGAUUUAUCUCUUAUCUCAAGCCUAUGUUGACGAGUCAAAGCACAAAGUCUUUUAAAAAGGAUUUAAAUUGUUUUUUAAACUCUCACAAAUUUUUUCAAUCUCUUAAGAGCUUUUUCAACCAGUUAAAAUUUAUGGUUUACACAUUCUACAACUUUUUCAAUUGGUUAUUUUGAAGAAAUAAUUGAUUGAAAGUUUUUUUUAUAUAUAAAGUUGUUUGAAGUUUGUUUUAUUUCUAAAAUUCUAUUUUGUUUCCAAAGUUAGUUUUGUUUCCACAUUCAGUUUUCAAUUUCUCAAAAAUAUGUUUUGAUUCUACUUAGUGUAUUUUAGAGUUUUCAAUCUGUUAUUUAAACUUUCACUAUGUUGUUCUCUUAACAGAUUUAAAAUUGUUUUACAAAAUCAUUUCAGUUUUGAAUUAUAUAAAAGGAAGGCUAGUUUUCUAAGUUAAUCAUCACCUGAAUGCACAUAUUAUUACUGUUUUCAAAAGCUUGAGAAGUUCUUUGAGGAAAUUUGAUUUUUGGAAGGUUCUUUUGAAACUUUUGGGAAGUUCUUUGUGUUGUCAUUUUCACCAUUAGCUUGUGGUCAAGAGUUUCAUAAAGGUGUUGGAGUUUGGAGGUCUUGGUUGUGUCUCCCAAGUUUGAAAUAAGGUGUAUUCGUUUCAUACUUCUUUGAUGUUGUAAAGUUGUGUUAGUUUGCUUCUAAGAUAAGGUUUCUUGAAGCAUAAGUUUGGUUGGAAUAGUAUUUUUCAGUGCGUGUUUGUAGUUCUUGUAGGGUUCAAGAGUUGUUCUUGAGCAAUCUUUUGUAUAAAAUUCUUAGAUUCUUUUGAUAUAGUGAAAAUCAUCUUAGUGUUAGAUGUGACUGGAUGUAGCUCAAUUUUGAGUGAAUCGGUAUAAAUCUUUGUGUGCUUUUUUGCUUUCAAAUUCAUUGCUUUGAAUUCUAACAAAUUCAUUACUUUGAAAUUCUAGAAAAUCUAUAAAAUUGGUAUAAAAGGUAAUUUGUUGUUUCAAAGAUCAAUCAAUUAUUUUUUGUUGAAGUAUUUGUCUUUUUAGUUUUCUAAUAAUACAAUUCCUAAAAACUAUUAAUUGUGCUUAAAGAAUUAAGUAACUACAAAGUGUUUUGAAUCUUUCUUGUCAUAUUAAAAUCAAGCUUUUAAUAGGUCAUCAAGUAUUAGAACAUAUUAAAAUCUUCUAUUUCAAAUAUGAAUUUAAAAUUGUUACGGUGUAAGUGAAUGAGCUGUUUAGAAUAGUAAAUAUGAAGUUAAAAAUAUAAUUAGUUGUUCUUCACUACAAUCAAUUGUUUUUCUGAAAUUCCCUCUGUUAGAAAAAUUUAAAUAUGUUAUUCCAUAAAGCAAUCAACUAUUUUUCUAUCAGGAUUGCUUAAAAAGUUUUUUGUGAAAAUCAUCCUAAGUACAAUUCACCCCUCUCUUUAACUUAGACUCCCGAGAGAGAAUAAUUUAAGCUCCAUAGGAUUACUUCAUAAUGUGAUUAAUUAGAAUGGUUUCUUUCACCCAUAGAGAAGACUUAGCAAAAUAUGAUCACUAGAAGAUAGGAAGAAUUUGUAGAUCGUAGAUGUGUUCUUCAUCUUCGUCUUGACUAAGAUAUGAUCUUCGCUUGAUCUCACUUAUCUGCAUAGAAUUUUACUCAUCACUUUGACUAGAAGCUUGAAAUGAAAAGUCUUUUGAAUGCUUAUUUUUGCACUUUUUACUUUAACUAAUCCAAAAUAAUUAUAACAAAAUUGAAUAUCUAACAUUUAAUGACUAUUAAAUCAUAGUGUUCAAAUAUUUUGUAAUGACUAUUAAAUCAUAGUGUUCAAAUAUUUUGUUUUUGUAACCAUAUAACUUGUUGAUAGUUUUCCAUGUAAAUGUUUUCCAAACUUAGACAUUUUAAACGUCAAAGAUAUAGCUUCAAAUAUGUUAAAAAACAAUUGUCUUUAUGUUUAGAAAACUUUUAUUGUUAGAUAUGAACAUACGGGGAACGAUAGACUAUUUGUCAUGAAGUUUAUGUAUUUUUAUCAAUGAAAAUUCAACCUUAAAAUCAUGAGUAUCCCUUAACGGUGCUUGUAUGAUGACAUCUUCUUUGUCUAUAUCUCUUCUUUUAAAUAUUUCAAAUGCAUAUUCUUUAAAAUAAAGUAUACAAAAUUUAAUAUUGAAAAAAAAAACUUCUUUUUCUAUGCUUAUCAUACUUCUCAAUUCCAACAAUACUAAGAAAAAAGAAAGAACUUUUAGAAAUGUAGAUUUAGUUUCUGAGGGUAUUAAAUUGAGCUUUCAAAUAUUUUAAAAUAUUUUUGCAAAUGAGUGAAUGAUUAAUUUUAAAUCAAUGAAUAACUUAAAAAAAAAAUAGAAUGUAGCAAUUCAGACAUGACUUAUAAAAGAUAAAAAGAAAAUGAAUUAUUACCAAUCAACCUCAUAAUCUUAUUUUGAUUCAAUUAAUCCGUCAAUCUUCAAGUUUUAUAACAACUUCUUGAGAACAUACAACACAAUAAACAAUAUUAAACUUUAUAAUACUUCUUACACUACUUCUGAGAUGUUAUCGCAAUUAACCAUCCUGACAAAUCCUAGUCAAGAUCAAUACAACAUAAUUUAGAAAAAAACCACAUAGAUAAAUUUCAACUCAUAAUAUGUUCAACACAAGAAAUAAAGUGUGAUGUAACAUGAUCAAUGCAUGUUAUUUAUGUAAUUGUUUUUUAAUCUAAGAAAAAUGACUUUUACAACAAUAUUUGUUAGUAUGCAGGAAAAACUGAAAUAAAAAAAAAACAAAGAGAAAAUAAUUGAAGAGUGAUAAUAAAAAUAUAUAAUCAGACACAAACUAAUUUUCUUAUAAUAAAGAUUUUUGCUUUGUUUGGAUUAAAGAGUGAAUUUGAGGGAAUGAAAUUGAGAUUAUUUGGAGAGAAGAUAUGAGGUUGUUCAAACUAAGGUAAACAAAGUGGGAAGUGAAGGAAACUAAAUGGAAAGUUUGUGAAUGAUGUGAUAAAUGUGAUGGAUGUGAUUGAAAUUUUAAUUUUUUGAAUUGAUAAAAUAAUAAAAUUUAAAAUUUGCCCUUGUGUUUAAAGAUAAUUUGAAAAAAUAUAUGAUUUAUUUAUUUGUGCAUUUGAGUUGUUUAUAAUUAAAACAUUAUUUCAUAAACAAUGUCAAAAUGUGUGUUAAUAUUGAGGUUCAUAACCUCGUUGCACCAUGAAGUUCAAUGUGUUUAUUCAACAAAGUUGUACAAAAACUCUUAUUGGAGUCACCAAUUACGUAAACAUGGGUUACCAUUUAAUAUCAACAUGGACCCAUAAUCGAUUAUCAACCAAGCAUAGUCGGUUAUACUCUAAAAAACACACAUAUAAUCGAUUAAGACACAAAGAUAAUCAAUUAUCCUUUAAAAAAAUAGAGCAUGCUCAUUCAAUUAAGUGUACAAAAAUCCUUACUCAGGGUCACUACUAACGUAAACACAAGACACCAUUUAAUAUCUACAUGGACCCACAAUCGAUUAAGAUUAAGGCACAUGGGUAACCGAUUACCCUUUUAAAAGAAGACAUAAUGGAUUAUGACAAAUAGAUAAUCGAUUAUGCUUUGAAAAAUAACGCUAGUCGAUUAUGACAUGAAUAUAAUCGAUUAUCAUAUGAAAAAUAAGCCAUCGAUUAUGUAAAACAUAAAAUUGAUUACCCGUGUAAGAAUAAACCAUAAUCAAUAAUUGAUGACUUUGUUAAGAAGGGAUAAUCAAUUAUCAAUUCAAAAAUAAAAUAUAAUCGAUUAGGCUUACAGUUGAUAAUCGAUUAUGAUGCUCUUUUAUCACUUACUAUUCCAAAUCUUUAUGCACCUUCCUCCAUUAUAUUUGUCGGGAUUCCAGAUCUUUAUUCACCUUACUCCUUUAUAUUUAUUAUGUAAAGUAAAAAGUAAAUUGCAUACACACUCAAAGUGAGACUAUUUUUUAUUUAUACACAUCCAUACAUCUAUAUGUAACUUUUUUUCAACAUUAUGUGUAUGUUAGUUAGGCAAGGAUGAGAGCACAUCCUCACUUUUUCUUACUCUCAUUUAAGUGCACAUCAACUAAUACAAAAAUGGUUUAUCUAUGCUCUUCUUUCAUGUCUAUAAUAUAUCGUGGAAUCAAACAAAAGUUUAAGAAAGAAAAUGAUAUAAUAUUAAAAAAAUAAACAAUCCAAAUAAAAAAAAAGUGAGAUAACACAAAAUUCAAUUGUUAGUAUAUUUUAUCUUUAUAUAUAUAUAUAUAUAUAUAUAUAUAUAAAUAGUGUGUCUAUGUGCAAAUAAAGAAUCAGUGAAGUGAAAACUACAGGAGUGGGAAAGGGGUGGGAGAGAGAAGGGAAGAGAGGAAAAGAAGAAACUAAAAGGGAAGCAACCUUUCCAUUUCCCCUUCUUCAUCUGCAGUAGCACCAAGAAACUUGAACUAACCUGGCCUAGCUUCUGUUCCGGUGAAUUAGGCACAGCCAUAAACACAGAUUCUGUACUUGUUGUGACGUGCAGAGGGAAGCGAAACGGACUUUUGCUGGCCGGAACGAUGACCGGAGGUGGAUCGACGGGGAGGAUGCCGACGUGGAAGGAGAGAGAGAAUAACAAGCGGAGAGAGAGAAGACGGAGAGCGAUUGCUGCUAAGAUCUACACCGGCCUUCGAGCUCAGGGGAACUUCAAGCUUCCCAAGCACUGCGACAACAACGAGGUCCUGAAGGCUCUGUGCGCAGAGGCUGGUUGGAUCGUGGAAGAAGAUGGCACCACCUAUAGAAAGGUAAAACUCAAUAGUCUUUGGUCUCAUCAGAUCACAGGCUCAGAUCUGCGCUCACUCUUUCUCAACGAUAACGGAUAAUUAGUUAUAACCAUUUAUGUUGACACAGGGAUGCAAGAGACCCACGGGAAGUGAGAUUGGAGGCACUCCACCCAACAUAAGCGCGUGUUCUUCGAUUCAGCCAAGUCCACAAUCCUCCUCAUUCCCGAGUCCUGCGCCUUCCUACCACGCUAGUCNNNNNNNNNNNNNNNNNNNNNNNNNNNNNNNNNNNNNNNNNNNNNNNNNNNNNNNNNNNNNNNNNNNNNNNNNNNNNNNNNNNNNNNNNNNNNNNNNNNNAUUGACGCAAACCCCUCUUCCUUUCUCAUCCCAUUCAUCCGCAACAUAACUUCAAUCCCCGCCAACCUUCCCCCUCUCAGGAUAUCCAACAGCGCCCCUGUCACCCCACCUCUUUCCUCUCCCCGAACCUCUAAGCGCAAGGCCAACUUCGAUUCCCUCUCCCACGCCUCCUUCCGUCACCCUCUUUUCGCCACUUCCGCCCCCUCCAGUCCCUCGCGCCGCCACCACUUCGCCACUUCCACCAUCCCUGAGUGUGACGAGUCCGACGCUUCUACCGUCGACUCUGCCUCCGGCCGUUGGGUUAGUUUUCAGGUUCAGACCGCCGCCGGUCCUCCCUCCCCCAC
rnacentral:lncRNA from 1 species